AUUGUGCUGUAAGAAAUAUUUCCUGCAAAAUUCACAGUUUUCGCGAAUUUCUACGAAUUCGAAAUGGCACUUGUUUCGAAAUUUAAGAAAAUAGCCACUAUCUGAAGCGAGCAAAGUUCGAAGACUUCUUUCCGAUGGGAGGUUUUGUCUAACACAAACCUCUGCAGUAUUUUUACCACGUGAUCAACGAGGCCGCACCUUUUGAUUUUGACUUUUAAAUUUCCUUUACAGCACGAGGUGUGGAGACAUUCACAUUCACCAGGUGAAAUCGGUUGUGGCCUUGGGUUACUUGGGAACCUCUGUCAUUGAAGAGGGUACAGAGUACUCUUCUUUUAUGUCUAUUUUCAUUAUUCAAAAAAGCUUAGCUUUCUGGAGUGAAUCGGCUUUUUGUAGCAAAUCAUGCAAAGGCUCGGCCUGCUGCGUCCUUUUUUUCGGAUGGCCAGGCCGUCUCUCCAAUGUCUCCAGUGAAAUACAAAUUUUUCAUAUCCCUUCCAACAGCAAAAAAAACAAACAGCGGCUGCCCUAAUCACUCGUCAGAACGCCAGACUAGUAAGGCUCAGCACCACGUCAAUUUGGCAGUGUUUUGAAUUUCGAUGCGGCACUGUGGCGUUUGGAUGAACCUCGUUUCUGUCCCAUGGACCUACCCGAAAACUGAACGAUCGGUUACUACCGGGAUGCGUACUUACGACGCGGUUCGGUUUGGUAUAAAAUACCCGGCGAAACCGAUAGGCCCACCACAACGUAGAAAACAGGCGGAUAGAGGGCGUCAAGUAAAAGAAAAUGAAAAAAAUUUUGCCAAUGAAAAUUUUUCCAAAAUUUUUAUAAAAGCGGAUAGUUCUCAUAAAGGAGGGGAAACAACGGAAAAUUGAAGAAUUUCGGCUCUUCGUUUAGGCAAUGUUUUCGUUUUUCUUUUUCUUAAUAUAACUAUUAUAUUCUCUUAACACCAAUAAUGCUAAUUUUAAUAUUAAAAUGUAAUAUUUAUAAUUGUAGUCUCUGCUCUGAGGCUUGUGCAAAAACCAAACAUACUGGCACGACAAUCGUAACUAUUGCAAUAAGUAUUGAGCUGCGCUAACGAAAAAAAAAGAAACGCAUUUUGGUAAAUUAAAAGAUAACCGAAAAUAA